CAGACACCAAAAGGCUGACACUUUGAGGUCACAGACUGCGGAGUCACCUUGGUACAUUAUGGGAGAGGAAAAGGAGGCCGCAGCAGACGUGCAGGAGAUGGUUGAAUUUUGGAACCAAUGAACAUCAACAAACAAAUAAAAUCCAGGUAGAGGAUCUCGGCUCAUCUCAAGAACAAUUUCCACAGGAAACCGAGACAGAGACAAGACCAAGACCAGACUCGAGUACUACAGCAUCAGAUAAUACUGAGGAUGAGUCUGUUAAGAAAAG